rnacentral:rRNA from 1 species
CGGCGAACGGGUGAGUAACGCGUGGGUACCUGCCUUGAGGUGGGGGAUAACCCGGGGAAACUCGGACUAAUACCGCAUAUGAUCGCGAGAUCAAAGCGGGCCGCAAGGCUCGCGCCACAAGAGGGGCCCGCGUCCGAUUAGCUAGUUGGUAGGGUAAUGGCCUACCAAGGCGACGAUCGGUAGCCGGCCUGAGAGGGUGAUCGGCCACACUGGAACUGAGACACGGUCCAG